GUCCACGCUGUAAACGAUUAUCACUAGGUGUUGGGAGUAUUGACCCUCUCAGCGCCGCAGCUAACGCAUUAAGUUAUCCGCCUGGGGAGUACGGUCGCAAGACUAAAAACUCAAAGGAAUUGACGGGGGCCCGCACAAGCGGUGGAGUAUGUGGUUCAAUUCGACGCAACGCGAAGAACCUUACCUGGGUUAGAAAUCAACUAGAAGUUCUGCAGAGAUGUGGGACGUCCCCGCAAGGGGACUGGUUGACAGGUGCUGCAUGGCUGUCGU
rnacentral:rRNA from 1 species